UACGGGGGGGGCAAGCGUUGUUCGGAAUUACUGGGCGUAAAGGGCUCGUAGGCGGCCAACUAAGUCAGACGUGAAAUCCCUCGGCUUAACCGGGGAACGGCGUCUGAUACUGGAUGGCUUGAAUCCGGGAGAGGGAUGCGGAAUUCCAGGUGUAGCGGUGAAAUGCGUAGAUAUCUGGAGGAACACCGGUGGCGAAGGCGGCGUUCUGGACUGCAACUGACACUGAGAAACGAAAGCCAGGGUAGCAAACGGG
rnacentral:rRNA from 1 species